AAAAGUGAUCAAAAUGAAUAA
rnacentral:sRNA from 1 species